AGUGAACGCUGGCGGCAUGCCUUACACAUGCAAGUCGAACGGCAGCACGGUUACUUCCUCCUGGUGCCGAUUGGCGAACGGGUGAGUAAUACAUCGGCACAGGUCCUUUAGUUGUGGAUGGCGCUGCGAAAGCCGGAUUUAUACUGCAAACGAUUCACACAUGAAAGCGGGGGCACGUCAUCUUCCGCGCUUUCGGGUUGGCCGAUGCCGGAUUAGCUAGUUGGUGGGGUAAAGGCCUACCAAGGCGACGAUCAGUAGCUGGUCUGAGAGGAUGACCAGCCACACUGGAACUGAGACACGGCCCAGACUCCUACGGGAGGCAGCAGUGGGGAAUUUUGGACAAUGGGCGAAAGCCUGAUCCAGCAAUGCCGCGUGUGUGAAGAAGGCCUUCGGGUUGUAAAGCACUUUUGUCCGGAAAGAAAUGCUUGAGUUUAAUACAGCGGGGGGCUGACGGUACCGAAAGAAUAAGCACCGGCUAACUACGUG
rnacentral:rRNA from 1 species